CCUACGGGAGUCAGCAGUGAGGAAUAUUGGUCAAUGGCCGGGAGGCUGAACCAGCCAAGUCGCGUGAGGGAAGACGGCCCUACGGGUUGUAAACCUCUUUUGUCAGGGAGCAAGGUGCAGGUCGGGACCUGCGGUGAGAGUACCUGAAGAAAAAGCAUCGGCUAACUCCGUGCCAGCAGCCGCGGUAAUACGGAGGAUGCGAGCGUUAUCCGGAUUUAUUGGGUUAAAAGGGUGCGUAGGCGGAAUAUCAAGUCAGCGGUAAAAAUUCGGGGCUCAACCCCGUCGGGCCGUUGAAACUGAUGUUCUUGAGUGGGAGAGAAGUAUGCGGAAUGCGUGGUGUAGCGGUGAAAUGCAUAGAUAUAACGAAGAACUCCGAUUGCGAAGGCAGCAUACCGGCGCCCAACUGACGCUGAGGCACGAAAGCGUGGGUAUCGAACAGGAUUAGAUACCCUUGUAGUC
rnacentral:rRNA from 1 species